rnacentral:rRNA from 1 species
AACGUAGGUACCGAGCGUUAUCCGGAUUUACUGGGCGUAAAGCGCGUUCAGGCGGUUUGGCAAGUCGGGCAUGAAAUCUCUCGGCUCAACCGGGAGAGGUUGUCCGAUACUUCCAGACUUGAGGGCAGUAGAGGGUGGUGGAAUUCCGGGUGUAGUGGUGAAAUGCGUAGAUAUCCGGAGGAACACCAGUGGCGAAAGCGGCCACCUGGACUGCACCUGACGCUGACACGCGAAAGCUAGGGGAGCGGACGGG